ensembl:snRNA U2 U2 spliceosomal RNA
AUAUAUUUUAAAAAAAAAAAAAAAAAAAAUCUGUUCUUAUCAGUUUAAUAUCUGAUACGUCCCCCAUCGGGGGACUACAUAUUAAAUGGAUUUUUCGAACAGGGAGUCGGAAAUGGGGCUUGCUCCGUCCGCUCCACGCAUCGACCCGGUAUUGCAGUACCUCCGGGAACGGUGCAACACUU